rnacentral:rRNA from 1 species
AGAGUUUGAUCAUGUCUCAGAUUGAACGCUGGCGGCAGGCCUAACACAUGCAAGUCGAGCGGAUGAUGGGAGCUUGCUCCCGGAUUCAGCGGCGGACGGGUGAGUAAUGCCUAGGAAUCUGCCUGGUAGUGGGGGACAACGUUUCGAAAGGAACGCUAAUACCGCAUACGUCCUACGGGAGAAAGCAGGGGACCUUCGGGCCUUGCGCUAUCAGAUGAGCCUAGGUCGGAUUAGCUAGUUGGUGGGGUAAAGGCCUACCAAGGCGACGAUCCGUAACUGGUCUGAGAGGAUGAUCAGUCACACUGGAACUGAGACACGGUCCAUACUCCUACGGGAGGCAGCAGUGGGGAAUAUUGGACAAUGGGCGAAAGCCUGAUCCAGCCAUGCCGCGUGUGUGAAGAAGGUCUUCGGAUUGUAAAGCACUUUAAGUUGGGAGGAAGGGCAGUAAGUUAAUACCUUGCUGUUUUGACGUUACCAACAGAAUAAGCACCGGCUAACUUCGUGCCAGCAGCCGCGGUAAUACG